rnacentral:rRNA from 1 species
AUUGAACGCUGGCGGAAUGCUUUACACAUGCAAGUCGAACGGCAGCACGGGGGCAACCCUGGUGGCGAGUGGCGAACGGGUGAGUAAUACAUCGGAACGUGCCCAGUCGUGGGGGAUAACGUAGCGAAAGUUACGCUAAUACCGCAUACGAUCUACGGAUGAAAGCGGGGGACCGUAAGGCCUCGCGCGAUUGGAGCGGCCGAUGUCAGAUUAGGUAGUUGGUGAGGUAAAGGCUCACCAAGCCGACGAUCUGUAGCUGGUCUGAGAGGACGACCAGCCACACUGGGACUGAGACACGGCCCAGACUCCUACGGGAGGCAGCAGUGGGGAAUUUUGGACAAUGGGCGCAAGCCUGAUCCAGCCAUUCCGCGUGCAGGACGAAGGCCUUCGGGUUGUAAACUGCUUUUGUACGGAACGAAAAGGCUCUGGUUAAUACCUGGGGCUCAUGACGGUACCGUAGGAAUAAGCACCGGCUAACUACGUGCAGCAGCCGCAGUAA